rnacentral:rRNA from 1 species
GUGGGGAAUAUUGGGCAAUGGGGGAAACCCUGACCCAGCAACGCCGCGUGAAGGAAGAAGGUUUUCGGAUCGUAAACUUCUAUCCUUGGUGAAGAUAAUGACGGUAGCCAAGAAGGAAGCCCCGGCUAACUACGUGCCAGCAGCCGCGGUAAUACGUAGGGGGCAAGCGUUGUCCGGAAUGAUUGGGCGUAAAGGGCGCGUAGGCGGCCUGGUAAGUCUGGAGUGAAAGUCCUGCUUUUAAUGUGGGAAUUGCUUUGGAUACUGUCGGGCUUGAGUGCAGGAGAAGUAAGCGGAGUUCCCGGUGUAGCGGUGAAAUGCGUAGAGAUCGGGAGGAACACCAGUGGCGAAGGCGGCUUACUGGACGGUAACUGACGCUGAGGCGCGAAAGUGUGGGGAGCAAACAGGAUUAGAAACCCGUGUAGUCC